UACGCGAGAAUAGGUAGAAAGUUGCUAUAGCUUUUGUUUUUUUUAUCAUCGCAGCGGAAACAACGGGUAGCAGCAGAAAAUCGCGAGAAAUCGGUACACUCAUCCAACUACUUUGCAAACCCAUAACCUUAGCAACCUAAUCGAUCAAAUUGUUGUCCUUUUUCCCCCCAUUUUCAAAGAUCUUCAAGAUCUCGUCUAUUUGAAAUUUCGCUGAACGAAUUUCUCCCCUAAAUCAUCCCUUCUUCCCCUAUAAAUAACUCUCUACCCUCAGUGAUUAAGGGGAGAGAGAGAAAAAAGAUUGGAUUUUGAGGUCAUAUAAGAAAAAUAGAUUAUCGAGGGGGUUUUGGAGUUGAGUUCUGAAGCAAUAGUCGUUUUAUACUCGAAAAAUGCAAGUGAUUCUCUAAUCCUUGUUUCUGAGAAAAUCUCUGUUUAUAGUUGUUUUUUAGCUUCUUCUUUGCUAUCAGUGUUCGAAUCUUGUGGUAAAAGAAUCACUGUCCAAAGCUUGUCGUUCCCAGUUCUGCUGCCCCCUGACAGGUAAUACUAAUUUUUAUUCAAGCGUCUUUCGUUCUUAAUGUUAUGUUAUGUGAUUUUCAAGUAUAUGAGCUGUUUAUAUAUCGGUAUUUCGAGAUUCUUUUUACUGAUGAUCGUAAAUCACUAUAUAGUUGGUCCGCCUAUUCGAAAUGACUUUUUUUCUCGUUUUCUUUCGCCAAAAGUCGAGCUGACCCCAUUCAAUGUUGAGAUGAGUUCUUCCGGUUAGUGUACUUUUACCUCAUUACAUGAUCUCAUCUUGUUGUUUAUGAUUGUGGUUUAGUAUGAAGUCUUAAAUUUAAUUUCUAAGAGGAGGUUUAUUUUUAUUUGUGAGUUCGUUUUGUAUCUCGGCUUGUAUAGACAAAUAUAGGUCGAUUAGUUUACUGUUUUCUCUUCUCUCUUCUCUUCGUUGACCUGUUGGUUGAGUUAAUUUCGUUUCGAUAGUAGGUUGUUUGAAACUGCUUCUUCGAUUUUUGAAUCCAAUGAAUCUCUAGUUAAGAAAAGUUUGUACAUGUGAAGGUUAUUGUUGCCUGCCUUUUCCUGUUUCUUAGAGUUCAAAAAUGUUGAUGUUGGUGAUUCUCUAAGAUUGAAUAUACGCUUUGUAGCAGUCGAUUUGGCGUAUAUAUAUUAUAUUCGGUAGUCAUGAUUAGUAGAACAUGCAUUACUUUCGGAUUUUCUUGGAGAUGUAAAAAAUCGUAGUAGCCUAAAUUAACUCCUCGACAUUGCAUAUACUUACCUGUAACUUGCUCUAAUAAUAUUCUCAUGGAGAUUUUGUAAGUUUCAGGCGCAUAUGUUGCUCAUACUGCUUGGGAAAGUUUGACGAGUGUUUUAUCAAAUUUAUGUAGCCUUAGUUAUGAGGUUUAUUACACCACUGUUAGCGGCAACGUGAAUUAAAGAGCAAGGAAAACAACAAUAUUUAACGUAGUUUGGAUCAAUAUGAUCCUACGUCCUUCAAAGAACAACGGGACCAAUAUUUAUUUCACUCUACAAAGAAUACAAGUGAAAUACCACAAGAGAGAGAACACAAAUGUCUUAGUAGGUGAGAAGGCUAGUGAGAGUAUGUUUUGAAAAUGAAGUAAGAACUACCUAUUUAUAGGAAUGAAUUCAUCCUAUUGAUAUCAUCCAUGACAUCACUAUAUGUAAAAAAUGUUAAGGUUAAGAAUAUGAAACCAUUUUAUGGUUUGCUUAAACUUCACCUACCAAGAUAUUAUCUUGACUUUUAUUUUAUACUAAUUAUCUUCCUACCAAAUAUUCAUGUUAAUUCGUCUUCUAUUUAGUUUGAUUCCACAAGAACAAAACCAAACCACUGUUUGGUUUAGUUCCCUGUUUCAUGCUAGUGCUUGUUGCUGAAGUUUUGGUAAGAGAUAUAGUGAAUGUGUCUUGCUGAAAUUUUUUCCUUAGCCGAGUUGUUAUCUUCUACCACCAUAAAAUCGCACUUGUACACGCUUGGUAACCCUGACCAUAUUUUUUGGAAUGGUUUUAUUGGUACCUCAAUUAACUUCUAAUCAAUUAUAGUUUUGUAAGAAGGAAAAUUUAGUUAAAGUAAUAGUUUACUAUUGCGAAUUUAUAAUUUGUGUUUUGUCUUCAUGUGUGCCAUUUUGAUUUUAUUUUUUUACCUUUCGAUAUGGUACUGUUAUGAUCCAUUUCUCUGUACUAAUCGUUUUCGUCUAAUUUUCAUUGCAUAAAUUCACUCGGAUCGAGUUAUUGGGACUCCUAUCUACCUUGCAUUUCUGAGUUGAGCCAUAAAGGCUAGCCUUUGAUUUCCCUAUUUCUCGAGUCAGCCCCUCCAUACAUUUGGAAGUCGUUACAGGUCCUGGAAAUUCUGGAAAAUAAUGUUAGUGUCAUGUGCAGAAAAUAUGUGGAAAAAGUACGAAAAUGCAGAGACGAGGAAAAAUACAGGUGUUUGGAAGCAGGAGAUACAUGAAAAGAGCAAAUAUACAUGCUGAUAUAUACUGAUAUACAGAAGAUGUAUACAAAAAAGGGGAUUGGGUUAAGACCCAAAAACUUGCAGCGGAAAUGGCCCAAAAGGGGGCCCAAUUUAAUUAUCUCUUUCACUCUCCUAAUUGUUUUGAUUAUGUUGACUAAUUUCAUUUAACUCUAACUUUAGAACUAGUAAUUAACUUGCUUAAAUCCCUCAAAACAUGAGUUAUUUUCUUUAGUUUGGUUUACUAUUUAAACAUCUUUUGCAAUCAA